rnacentral:lncRNA from 1 species
UGCCCCUUGUGAGUAAGAGAGGGGUAAAAAAAGUUAAAGAAGAUAAGACUUGACUGUACCAAAACAUCUUCACAAAACAUCCUUGCACAAAGAAGAAACUGCUGAAGUAUUUAAUGGCUUAUGUCUCUGAAGGAGAUGAUAUUCUAAUGAAUGAACAGUGUUUUCAUUGGAAGGUUAGUAAUGAGAUUAGUUUAGGAGCAUUUUAAAACCGUACUG